GGGGAAGUCAUUAAAAACUCAUUCAACUUUGAGGCUUUUGGUUGAUUUUCCCAGUUGAGCUGAGGCCAUGGAGACAAGAGGACAUCUGUGGACAGGAAGCCAGGCCAACAAGGUAGCCCAGAGCUCUUCAAUAAAGCAAACAAAUCAGGGCUUUGGGAGGUGGCAGAAAGGAAACGAGCAGAGUCCCACCCUAAGCCCAUCUUCCAGGCAGCCCAGAAAGCAGAAGACAGAGCCAUGUGUUCACUGGCCCAGGAGUGACAGCCUACUACACAGAUCGGAGGAAACAAAUGUGAAGAUGUUCAAAAAUCCAAAGCCAAGACGAAGGGGCUAUUCUCAACCUAUUGACCACAUCACAAGAAUGAAGACCCAGAUGACCACACCCCGGCCUCUUCUUCACAGAAAUAACUCAUGAAAUACCAUAUCCUCUAUAAACUCUUUCCUCUUUCAGAAAACUGCUCAUUUGAUCCCAUCCCAGAUGGCCUACAUGUAGCUUCUCCACCAAAUUUCUCAUCACACCAUGCCUUGGUUUGCUGCACAUUUAUAACGGCAAAUUUGCUUCAAGCAUGUUCACUUUAUUAGUCAUUUACUCAAGUGCACAUCUGUGGGAUAUAUUGUGUGCAUUCUGACUUAUGACAAACCACAAGGAUAUUGGGUACAUGCCUCACUAGCUCAGCAUGUGUAUUUUCUAAUAGUGUCUCUAUGUAAUAAAUGUUCUAUAGUUUCAAAAAAAUAAUGAGUGGAAAUAUGCACAAAUCAUAAAGGGCAGGCUCUGAUCAUCCUUUUUGACUCUUACAGCCAAGUUUUUAUGAGUCUAUUUGCAAAGGAGUAUGUCUCUUUAAUUUUUCUAUAAGUUUUUUCCUCUUUUUUCAAAAUAAAAGUCUCAAGAGCAGUAAAUCCUAUUAUUUUUUAAAUAAAAGAAAAAACUAUGGUCAAAAAUGUGUUGUUUCAUUAGUAAAGCUUUGCAUCAGUUUGAGUGCAGUUUGGCAAUGUGUUUUUUGGUCUGUUAUUAUCACUCUUUUUUAAUAAAAGAUGAAGUCUAUUUCAGAUGCCCAUUUUCAGACUGGGUCUUUAAAUUUGGGAGGUCUGAUCUUUUUAAGUUCUUUAUAGAUUUGAGAUAGCAGACCUUUGUCUGAGGAAGAGCAGAUGAAGAUUUUUUCCCACCUUGUGGGUUGUCUCUUCACACUGUUGGUGGUUUCUCUUGCUGUGCAGAAGCUUUUUAAUAAGAAGAGAUCCCACUUGCUGAUCAUUUGUGCUAGUUCACGGGCAACUGAGGUUUUGUUCAUAAAAUCUUUUCCUACACCAAUGUCUUCAAG
rnacentral:lncRNA from 1 species